AACGAACGCUGGCGGCAGGCUUAACACAUGCAAGUCGAACGAGAUCUUCGGAUCUAGUGGCAGACGGGUGAGGAACACGUGGGAACAUCCCUUUCAGUUCGGAAUAACGUUGGGAAACUAACGCUAAUACCGGAUACGUCCUUCGGGAGAAAGAUUUAUCGCUGAAAGAUUGGCCCGCGUCUGAUUAGCUAGUUGGUGAGGUAAUGGCUCACCAAGGCUACGAUCAGUAGCUGAUCUGAGAGGAUGAUCAGCCACAUUGGGACUGAGACACGGCCCAAACUCCUACGGGAGGCAGCAGUGGGGGAUAUUGGACAAUGGGCGCAAGCCUGAUCCAGCCAUGCCGCGUGAGUGAUGACGGCCUUCGGGUUGUAAAGCUCUUUAGUCCGGGAAGAUAAUGACUGUACCGGAAGAAUAAGCCCCGGCAAACUUCGUGCCAGCAGCCGCAGUAA
rnacentral:rRNA from 1 species